rnacentral:SRP_RNA from 1 species
CUGUGCUAGACGGGGAGGUAGCGGUGCCCUGAUCCCGCAGAUCGCGGGGGACCUGCAAUCCGCUGCAGCAGGGUCGAAUCCCCGAGUGAGGCCGCACGCAGGCGGGCGGACCCUCAACCGGAGGGCGUGGAAGGCCGGACCCUAUGCGACGGUUCGCGGUGAACCCCGUCAGGACCGGAAGGUAGCAGCGGUAAGCCGAAGGAUCGGGCGCCGUAGGUUCUAUCCGGCCCGAGUCCGAAGGUCGGAGAUGCCCGCCCGGCGGCGGUCGAACAAGGGUGCACAG